GGCCUAUUAGAUUCAUACUAAGUUAACUAAGCUAAUUUUGUUAUGUAGUUAAGAAAAAUAUUUAAAAUAAGUUAAUUUACAUAACUCGGCUUUUUUUUAUUUAAGCAAAUUUAUUUGCGAAAUAGAGAGAGAUUGAUCUUUCACUUUUUAAGGGGAAGAAAAAAACGAAUCUCCUAAAUCUAUAGCAUUUUAUGUGCCUUAAAAUCGCUUUUAUAUUUUUUUUCUAUCGUUAAACGAUGGAUAGUAAAAUAUGAUCUCUCGUCUACGAAAGCAGAUUCAUUAUAAAUUUUAUAAACGAAAAACUAUAAAUUUUCGAUCGGGCUUUACGGAUAUUUGUACUGUGAAUAAUCUAAUAAAAUUUGACUUUCUUAAUACAUUAAAAAAGAGGACUUUUGCAACAGAUCCAAUUUUUUUAUUACAUAGUAAUAUGAUGUGCCAGAAUUAUUGUGAAAAAUCUUAUUUUUUUUUUUAUUUUAACUAAAAUAAAAGGAAACAUUCAUAACUUGUAGACUAAUAUUACGUUUAUAAUCUGUCUUUUUCUUUAAAUUUUUGCCUUUAUUUUGCCUAAAUAAAAAUAAAUAAAUUUCUUAGCAUGUUAUGUUUGUCGUUAAAUUAAAAAAUAUAAUGUAGACUCAGUUCAAAAACAUAGAAUCUAUCAUUUUAAAAGACUUAAUACAUAAUGGCACUAUGCUAAAGUAUGUUGAUUACAACCAUAAAGCAUUUCCAAAAUGGAAAAAUUAUCAAGAAAAAUCGUAACAAUAUACAUAGAUUUAUUGAAUUUCAAGCAAAAUUAAAAAUUAUUGCAUGCAAUGACAGCUUAAUGAAAAAUUAUAACACUUAGAAUUUAAACUGACAAAACUUUUCGGUACGAAUUUCUUAAACGUUUAAUUUGAACAGAACAUUUUUGCAGGCCUAGGCCUAUAUUAAUAUUUUGUUUCGAAGGAAACAAAAUUAUAAUCAAUUAGAAUAGCUUAUGUAUAGCAUUGCAGCUUUCAUGAAGUAAAAGAAAAAAUAGUAAUGUCAGUUUGAUUGUUAUAUAAAUUGAAAAUGUAAGCAAAAGCAAGAUUUAAUAUUUAUUGUAUUUAGUCUCUUCAAAAUUCGAACAUUGCAAGAAAAACUAAAUUCAAUAUUCCAAAAUUUAAUGGCAUAAAUAGUAGCCUACGCCACGAUCUUUGCAUCUGAAAGGAAAGAAAAAUAAUAUUUAAAUUUUGAAUUAAAUUUUGUAAAAAUUUUUUUCAAGAGUCAAUAACCUGAACUUUUAAAAUAUUAUUUUGGUUUAUAUUUGAAUAAUUUUGUUUACAAAAUAAAUUACAAAUUCUAAAGAUAAGUUAUUUUAAUCUUAAGCUAGUUUAGAAAUUAUAAGAUAUUAUGAAGUACGAAUUUACAUUCCGUUACUGUCAAACUAUUUUGUAAUUGAAAAGAUGUAUCACAAUCUAACUACAUAAUGUUUAUUAAAUGUAACUUAUCUUUGGAUAUCUAUAAUAAACUGUCGUUAAAUUUGAAGAUCAGAAAAGGGGACUAGAUUUUAAUAGGUUUUAAUUGAUAAACUUUUUUCUAAAUGUUCUUGACGGAACAAAUGAGUUUUUAUAUAAAUUAGGCAUGUGCAUCGAAACUUAUCAAAUCGGUUUCGGAUGAAUUGCCAGAUAUCUGCGAAGGUCCUUCUAUAGUAGUACUUACACAGGUGUCUCAUUGUGUCUUAUCUUUAUGUUCAAUCAAUCAUGUUACCCGAAGUAUUUAGUGUUUCUCUCGCUAUAAUUUAUAUAGAAAUAGAUCCAGAAAGAAAUGUAACUUGCUUACGAUUCAAAAAUCAUUAAACAAUAUUUUCAUGUUAUCUAGCAAUUAAAAAAAAUUCCUUUGAAAUUUAUCCAAAUAAAAUUAAUCGCGUCUUUUGAAUGUUUUUAUAAAUUGUUUUAAUACGAUAUAUUCUAAUUUAAAUUUAUUUGUCUACAUCAGAAAACUCUAACUGAAUUUUAAUAUUUCUUUACUUCUAUAAUAUUCUUUAUUAUUAUUUUUUGAAUAAUUAAUAGAUUAUAUUUCCUUGCAUAUAAGCUAAUAGUUUAGUGACAAGACUGAAGACCUAUCGUUUAUAAAUUUUUAACUUUAUAAACAUAAAUUGUGAAUAAAAAAAUACCUAUUAAAUAAACUUAUCUAAUGACUUCAGUGUAAAAACACGCUGCAUAGGCCUAGGCGAUAUAGUCUAAGCGUAUUUUUGAUAUUAAACAAGAUUAAUUCUAACUUAAAUCAUUAUUUUAAGUUUCAAUAUUAAAUUAUACGUUUAUAUAUAUUUUAAAUCUUAUAGGCCCUAUCUUAUAAUCAUUUAUACCUGUUUUCUCCAUUCAGUUGACUUUCAGUCCGGUUUCGUAAGUCGUUAUCGUUCACGUAAAUAUUUUUAUUAUUUUUUUCAUUUGAAAGAUGAAUGACUUAUUCAAUUUUAGUUCUUAAGUUGGCUGUUUUUUUCAUUUGAUGGGAAAUUUCGAAUAAGUUACGAGUGAAUCUAAAAUCAUAAAUUUAAAAAACGAAUUGCUCCUUACUUUAAAGUAAGCUUUUCUUUAAGUAUUGGUUUCGUUUCAUAAAUUUUUAUGAAUAUAUUCUAUAAAAGUAGAUCAUUUAUAGUGGAGAAAUAUUUAAAUAAUAAUCGAUAAUAAAAAUUAGAUCUAAUAAUCAUUCCAAACGAAAUUUAAUCAAAACUAACUAAUCAAAAUAACUAAAGAACUUUAAAAAUAACUACAAAUAAACAUAUAUUGACUUUUUAAAGCCUCUUUUUAGAACCUCUUAAUGCUG
rnacentral:lncRNA from 1 species